UUUAUGGGCUUUGAAAGAGAUUCUGGAUAACACAGAGCAAUUAAGAUGCCAUUUUAAUAGUUCUUUCAAGUGAAAUCGAGUGAGUAAUUAAAUAAAAUUGAAUGAGGACCAUGUCAGGCCACCCACAAGCUUUCAUAUGCACUACAAAUACAUGAGUAAGUCAGGGUGGGGGGCAAAUGUUGUGUGGCUAAGUGGCCCUAUUUAUGUAUUAUUCAGUGACUCUAGGAAUGAGGUUUUCAGCUGAAAGAUUUGAUUUCUUUUUACAGUGUUUCCCAGCAAGAACAUCCAAGUUUGGCUAUUGCUAUUCAAGCAGUACUAACUUUUCUAUCUUUUAAAAUUCUUUAUGGUGGUGUUAAUGUCAUUAUUUUGUAUAGACUGCCUAUGGUAAAAGUCACGGAACAUAACCAAGAUUUCUAACAUUAAACACUGAAUUUGAAUUUCUGCUGCCUUGUUAUGCAUAUGAUUAUAUAUAGAUGCUUGUUGAAAGCUCUGCUUUAGAGCACAGGCAUGGGGUAUGGUAUUAUGAGUACUUUUUAUUCAUUUUACAGAGAGGAAAAAAAAACAAUGUGCAGGCGAAGGAAAAACAGGUGCUUUUGAGACUUCCAAUAUGGUAACUAACAGCACUUCUGCAUACCUGAGGACUGCAAAAAAUGGCUCCGUGCCAUAAUACACUUCGAAGUUUCAAACUCUGCUAGCAAGGGUCAUUGUGGCCAAAGGCAUCUGGAUGCUUUUUUUCCUGCACUAAGUCUGAAGGCUCUGCACAAUUUGCUGAUGAUGUACACUCUCGGCAGCUCCACACCACCAUCAGAAAGGAGAUGGCUAACCAGCAGUGCUAGAGCUAGACAAGGUGCAAAGAGAUAAGAUGCAAUCACGUGCCAGGACCGUGUUGUAUGGAUUGUGUUGGCCCAGCUGCUCGUGGAUGAGCAUGGUUAUGGAAGAAGCAGCCACACAGGUGGGUGCCAGCUUCAGCAAGCCUGCUGUCCAAGCUCACUCUGCUUCAGUUACAGCACCCAUGAAGAACUAAAAGACCAAUGACUUAUCCCUAGCCUCAGCAAGAGAGAGACAGGCAGGAUCUUAUCCAUGAGGUGAGUAACUGUUGAGAGGCAUUAAUGAUAAAGUAAUCAUGACAACUACAUAAUUUCACAAUGUCAACCUACGCAUGCAGUGACAGAGGCAGAUCACGGAGGAGGGUAACCUCUGGCAGGGGAAAAAAGGAAAAGCAACAGUGAGCAGCUGGGAGGGUGCCCAGGAGCUUCAGUCUCUGACCCAGUUCAGCUGCAGAUUCAGCAACACAUCCAAGCAAUGUCUCAUUAACAGCUUUAUAAAUUUCUGCAAUAUCUGGGUGUUGUCUAAAGGUUUCCCUUGAGCACACCCACGUAAUCUGAGCCUCAGCCAGUACGGCUAUAGAAUAUACAGGAAAAACUAACAAUGCUUCUUUUUAAGAAACAGAUAUCAGCAUCUGAAAUAAGUCACUGUGCUUGACUUAGCCAAACCAAAUUCCUGAUGUCUAGAGUUUUGUCUAUCUAAUGAUAGCAGGAUUAGACACUAUAUGCAUGAAUAUACUGCACGACUGUGCAAAACCAAAUAGUGCCACAAAGAUAAUUGUGGUUUAAUUAAUACAGUCUGCUGCUCCAUGCUCCACCAAGUUUUUGAUUAUUUGUCCAUCUUUAAAUUUUCAACAAAGCAUUCCUGCACAGUCGGAUGCCAAAAAAAAAAAAAAAAAAAAAGAACAAAAAAUGUAUCUUGCUUUCCUUUUUGGAAGUUUGGCUUGUUUUCAAGCCAUUUCAUUCAAUAAAAUAUAUUUUUUGGUUUAUUAACA
rnacentral:lncRNA from 1 species